CUGUUUCAUGAGCUAAAAUAUAAUACAAAAUAUAGAUCAAAAGGGCUUUUCAAUGUUAAAGUCAAACAUCCGCUAAAUCCGCAGUAUGGAUGAGAUGCAGUCUGUGCAGAGGGAGUG